rnacentral:lncRNA from 1 species
GGUCGUCUUGUCUACACUGCUGUUUUCCUCAAAAAAAAAAAAAAAAAAAAAAAUCAACUUCUGACGGAAAUCCUUUUUUGACAUGGCUUUUGCAGUUUCAAGUAUAAUGUUAAUUCUCCUCCUGUUUUUGUUACCACUCUUAGCCACUUCCCAGCCAUACAGUAAUGUUACCAUGGGUUCAUCAAUAACGGCAGACAAAAAAAAAUCCAUUUGGGUGGUAUCACCAUCUGGAGAAUUUGCUUUAGGCUUCCAGCAGGUCAUUCAGGGACGUUACUUACUGGCCAUCUGGUUCAACAAAAUACCUGAAAGAACCGUUGUUUGGUCUGCCAAUCGUGAUAAUCUCGUCCAAGAAGGAUCAAAAGUUCAACUAUAUGCAGAUGGGAGUUUCGAACUGCGUGAUCCGCCAGCAGAUAUGGUCUGCUACUUCGUCUUUUGAUGGAGUGACCUAUGGAUCCAUGCUUGACACUGGUAAUUUUGUGUUAGCAAACAACAGUUCAGUUUUUUUGUGGCAGAGUUUUGACAACCCUACUGACACAUUAUUACCAACACAGACACUUAAUAAAAGUGGCAUACUUGUUUCCAGAUUUUCUGAAACAAAUUAUUCAAAAGGGAGAUUCCUCUUCACAUUAGAAAAUGAUGGAAAUCUUGUGGCUUCCACCAGAAAUUUCCCCACGGAUGACAAAGUUCUAAAUUAUUGGUUAACGAAUACUUCGGACAGUGGCUUCAACCAGGUGAUCUACAACCAGUCUGGCCACAUCUUUCUGGAAGCAGUAAAUGGAAGUGUUCUCUAUUUUAUGUCUCAAGAUGCGCACUCAACUAGUCAGUUUUACCAGAGAGCAAUUCUGGAAUAUGAUGGAGUUCUAAGGUAUUAUGUCUACCCUAAGUCUGCUAAUUCACCAGGCGGGAGAGAGAUGGCAUGGUCCUCUGUAAAAUCCAUACCUUCGAAUAUAUGCAUGAGCAUGGUGCAGAGAAUUACCCCCGAUGCACCAAGGUCAGGAUUUGGUGCUUGUGGUUUUAAUAGUUUAUGCUCAUUGGGAUCUGAUCAAAAACCAAAGUGUGAGUGCCCUGAAGGUUACACUCUCAUAGAUCCAAUUGACAGGAUGAGUGGUUGCAAACCAAAUUUCGUUGUACAAAGCUGUGAUGAAGGGGCACGUGAAACUGACCUUUUUAUUCUAAAAGCCAGGACCAACAUAAAUUGGCCUCUUUCCGAUUACGCACUAAUUGAGAAAACCUCAGAAGAUUUAUGUAGACAAUAUUGCCUCAAUGAUUGUUUUUGUGCUGUAGCAAUUUACAACAGCGUUGGUCAAUGUUGGAAGAAACAAUAUCCUCUCACCAAUGGGGUGAUAGAUUCUAGCGUAGGGGGAAAAGCUUUGAUAAAAGUAAGGGAAAAAAAUGCAACUGCAUACUCCUGUGUCUUUAAGAAGAGUAAGAGUUCCACUCUGAUCAUUAUCCUAUCAGUUUUCUUAGGCAGUUCAAUGUUCCUACUUUUAUCCCUCUUGUUGUAUGUUCUCUGUUUCAAUCAACAAAAAUCGAAGAGCCUUCAACCAUAUCAAGAUCUUCCAGGCUUGAACAUAAGAAGAUUCAGUUUCAAAGAGCUACAAUUAGCAACAAAUGGAUUCAAGGAGGAAUUGGGCAGGGGCGCUUGUUCAACAGUAUACAAAGGGAUUCUUAAGAACGACAAUAUUGAAACCGUAAUUGCUGUGAAAAAGCUUCAGAAGAUGGCUACAGAAGGGGAACAAGAAUUUAAAGCGGAAGUAAACUCAAUUAGCAGUACUAAUCACAAAAAUCUAGUUCAAUUGCUGGGAUAUUGUGAAGAGGGCCAAAAUCGGGUUUUAGUAUAUGAAUCCAUGGGCAAUGGCUCUUUAGCAAACUUGCUGUUUGAAAAUUCAAGGCCCAACUGGUACAAAAGAAUGCAGAUCGCAUUUGCAACUGCUAGAGGUAUUUGCUAUUUGCACGAAGAGUGUAAAAAUCAAAUCAUACACUGUGACAUUAAGCCUCAAAACGUACUCUUAGAUGAAUCCUUCACAGCAAAAAUAUCGGACUUCGGACUAGCCAAGCUUUUGAAGUCAGAUCAAUCUAAAACCACCACCGGAAUAAGGGGAACAAAAGGGUAUGUUGCUUCAGAGUGGUUCAGAAACAUGCCGAUUACAGUCAAGGUUGAUGUUUACAGCUUUGGAAUCUUGUUGCUCGAGCUUAUCUGUUGCAGAAGAAAUUAUGAACCAGAUGUUGAGGUUGAGAACGAAAUGAUACUUGCUGAUUUUGCCUAUGAUUGUUACAAAGAAGGAACAAUGCAUUUGCUAGUGGCAGACGAUGAGGAGGCAUUAGGCGACAAGCGAUUUGACAAGUUUGUGAUUAUCGCAAUUUGGUGCAUUCAGGAGGAACCAACAUUAAGGCCUACCAUGAAGAGAGUAAUGCAACUUAUGGAAGGAUCUGUUGAAGUCCCCAUUCCUCCAGAUCCCACCUCCUUUAUCACUUCAGUUUAGAUUCACAUUUUUGUCCCAAUGUAUGAUAAUAAUUUUUAUGAUCUUCGUAUUAGCAUCUAUGUUCAAGUCACUCAUUUUUAAUCUUCUAAUAAAUUUAUUGCAAUAAUGUACUAUGUUGUACUCAAUCAACUUCUUCGUUAUUGUAAAAGGAGUUCACACCGUGAAAGUGUAACUUUUUUCUAUUUAUACUUCUCCUUGCCUUACAGAGAUGAUUUAUAUAAAUGAUGGCUCAACCAAA